rnacentral:rRNA from 1 species
GACGAACGUUGGCGGCGUGCUUAACACAUGCAAGUCGAACGGAAAGGCCCUGCUUUUGUGGGGUGCUCGAGUGGCGAACGGGUGAGUAACACGUGAGUAACCUGCCCUUGACUUUGGGAUAACUUCAGGAAACUGGGGCUAAUACCGGAUAGGAGCUCCUGCUGCAUGGUGGGGGUUGGAAAGUUUCGGCGGUUGGGGAUGGACUCGCGGCUUAUCAGCUUGUUGGUGGGGUAGUGGCUUACCAAGGCUUUGACGGGUAGCCGGCCUGAGAGGGUGACCGGCCACAUUGGGACUGAGAUACGGCCCAGACUCCUACGGGAGGCAGCAGUGGGGAAUAUUGCACAAUGGGCGGAAGCCUGAUGCAGCAACGCCGCGUGCGGGAUGACGGCCUUCGGGUUGUAAACCGCUUUCGCCUGUGACGAAGCGUGAGUGACAGUAAUGGGUAAAGAAGCACCGGCUAACUACGUGCCAGCAGCCGCGGUGAUACGUAGGGUGCGAGCGUUGUCCGGAUUUAUUGGGCGUAAAGGGCUCGUAGGUGGUUGAUCGCGUCGGAAGUGUAAUCUUGGGGCUUAACCCUGAGCGUGCUUUCGAUACGGGUUGACUUGAGGAAGGUAGGGGAGAAUGGAAUUCCUGGUGGAGCGGUGGAAUGCGCAGAUAUCAGGAGGAACACCAGUGGCGAAGGCGGUUCUCUGGGCCUUUCCUGACGCUGAGGAGCGAAAGCGUGGGGAGCGAACAGGCUUAGAUACCCUGGUAGUCCACGCUGUAAACGGUGGGUACUAGGUGUGGGGUCCAUUCCACGGGUUCCGUGCCGUAGCUAACGCUUUAAGUACCCCGCCUGGGGAGUACGGCCGCAAGGCUAAAACUCAAAGGAAUUGACGGGGCCCCGCACAAGCGGCGGAGCAUGCGGAUUAAUUCGAUGCAACGCGUAGAACCUUACCUGGGUUUGACAUGGAUCGGGAGUGCUCAGAGAUGGGUGUGCCUCUUUUGGGGUCGGUUCACAGGUGGUGCAUGCCUGUCGUCAGCUCGUGUCGUGAGAUGUUGGGUUAAGUCCCGCAACGAGCGCAACCCUUGUUCACUGUUGCCAGCACGUUAUGGUGGGGACUCAGUGGAGACCGCCGGGGUCAACUCGGAGGAAGGUGGGGAUGACGUCAAGUCAUCAUGCCCCUUAUGUCCAGGGCUUCACGCAUGCUACAAUGGCUGGUACAGAGAGUGGCGAGCCUGUGAGGGUGAGCGAAUCUCGGAAAGCCGGUCUCAGUUCGGAUUGGGGUCUGCAACUCGACCUCAUGAAGUCGGAGUCGCUAGUAAUCGCAGAUCAGCAACGCUGCGGUGAAUACGUUCCCGGG